GAAAUCUUAAAUACCAUCGUCAAAAAAUGUAAAUACCGUCGUAUAUCUAUCAUGUUAGUGUCCAUGCAAUUUUGUUUUUAAUUAAGUAUUCUUUCAUUCUAUUCUAACAACCUUUGCAUAUGAGAUAAAUACCUUCGUAAUGUUGAUGAAUAUCGUCGAUUACUUGAUUAAUACCAUCUCCUAAUAGUGUAAUACCGUUGCAUAUUUAUCAUUGUAGUGUAUAUAGACAUUGUUGAUAUUAUUAGGUGAGUUUUGCAUGUGGAGAACAUACCUUCGAUUAAUAAAUUAAUACCGUCGUCGAAUAUGUACAUACCCUCGUCGAAAUGGUAAAUACCAUUGCUUACUCAUUUAAUACCGCCCGAUUUCUAUCAUGAUAGUGUCCAUGCAAUUGUGUUGUAAUUAAGCGUUCUUUCAAUUAUUUGUAAAUACCUUCGAAUUAUAGUUAAAUACCUUCGGAAUGUCGAUAAACACCGUCGCAUAAUUGUUAAAUACCAUCGUGUAAUAUUUUAAUAUUUUCGCAUAUUCAUGAAUGAAGAUUUAAUUGAUGGGUUUUUCGUAAAUAAUUUGGUUUAGAGCGAUUAAUGAUUUGUGGUAUAAGCUAAUUUAUAGGAGAAUAUAUUAUUUGUAUUUUAAUUUAAUUUAUUCGUAAUUUACAGAUGACAGAGUGGAAAAAUGUCCUUGUGAGAAAUGGAGGAUAUUGGAAUGAUGUCUUAUAUUGUGGUGGAGGUGCUACAUUUGCUUAUGUUCAGACAAAUAACAUAAGCAUUUCGGAGUUAAGGCAAAAUAUCAAUUACUACUUGAUGGCAAAUUCACUGAGUACCGUCUACAAUUUAUACUAUCUAUCGAGAUCUCGAAGUGGCAGGAUCAUCCGAUCUCUUUUAAGUACUGAUGACCAACUUUCUCGACUUUGUGCCUUUGAGGUCGAGCCAGAGGUUUAUGUGACACAUGAUGGUGGCACUUCCCAAUCGGAGCAAGAAGUUUAUCGACCUUCGAUCGAGAUACCGUAUGCAUCUACUUAUGAGCACCCUCCUCAGCCCACUUCAUUCGAGGAGCCCGUCUCAAACCACAUGAGAGGUUUUGAUUGGUUUGCUGAUAAUAAUGAUGAUGAAGAGUAUGUUCCAUCAACAAACACUGAUGAUGAUGAAGAUGAUGAUGAUGAAGAAGCAGAGGAGCGUGAGUCUGCUCGAGUUGAUUAUGGCACAUUUGCUGAGCAUAUUGCUUGGAUUCGUCGGGAGGGAGGAAUCGGGCAGCUUAUGUCCAUGAUAAUGCAGACAAACCCACAAAGGCUUGAAGAAGAGUUGGGACCCGAACAAACUGCAGAAAUGAGCAAUUGGCUAGUUCCGGUGGUUCUGAAGGAUUUUUCCAUGAAUUUAUUUGCAGGUAAACUUGACAACAUACNUAAUAAUAAUAAUAAUAAUAAAUAUAUACACACAAAAUAAUUAUAACAACAACAACAACAACAACAACAACAACAACAACAACAACAAACAACAAUAAUAAUAAUAAUAAUAAUAAUAAUAAUAAUAAUAAUAAUAAUAAUAAUAAUAAAUAAUAAUAAAUAAUAAUAAUAAUAAUAAUAAUAAGGAAUAAUAAUAAUAAGGAAUAAUAAUAAAUAAUAACAACAACAACAAUAACAAUAACAAUAAAAAUAAAAUAAUAAUAAUAAUAAUAAUAAUAAUAAUAAUAAUAAUAAUCAUAAUAACAACAACAACAACAACAACAAUAAAAAUAACAAUAAUAAUAAAAAAAUAAUAAGGAUAAUAACAAUAAGGAUAAUAACAAUAAUAAUAAUAAUAAUAAUAAUAAUAAUAAUAAUAAUAAUAAUAAUAUUUAGUUUAGGGGAGACUAAUUACAUAAUUAAUGGUGGAAUAAAGUGGGCCCAAUAGAUAAAAGUAUAGUAAAUUUAAAAGCAAGGGAGGGUAUAAUUGUCCAAAAAGCAGAGUAGGAGUUUAUUUCGUGGACAAAUAUUUAAGGGCAAGUAGGAGUUUAUUUCGUGGACGGAGGGAGUAGUAUUUGUGAUUAGGGGGAUUUGCAAAAGUACCCAACACUUAGCAAAUGUCUACAAUUUUUAACAACUUUUUCAAUCAUCUACAAGUUUUAAUCAUUUUUAUUUUUUAAUAUAUUUUGUCAUCACACAUCUACACAGUUAUUUGUAGUUGUCAGAAUUCUCCAAUAAUUGUUCACGCGUGAGUUGAAGCAGUGUACUAUGAUUCUCUAUCAUUUGUUCUCUUAUGAUUCUCCCAUCACGUUUUGUGCCUAAAAUACCAUCGACUGAUAUCAGUUUGAAAUACCGCGCAUAUCUAAUAUUACACGAAAAUAAUAUUUACAGAUUUAAAGGAUGCAAAAGAUACUUUACACCAUAGAAGAUGUUGUCUAAAAAACUUAAAAUACCGUCGGAACCAAUGAGAAUACCGCCAGUCGAUAUUCUCAAAUAUUCAGAUGGUAUAAGGAUUAUGACAAACGGUAUUUUCUUUUCUUAACGACGGUAUUCAAUUUAUUUCCAACGGUAUUCUAAGUAUGUUUGACGCCUUUUACUUUCACUUUCACGUGAAUAUAAAGUUCUUCCAAGUACACUCAUGUGAAUAUAAAGUUAUUCCUAGUACAUUUACGGGUGGGUAAAUUAAACACAAAGGCCUCCAUAUAUGUUGAAAGGAUGAAUUGAAUAUGACACACUACAAUAUAAACAAGUUGUCUCAAAGGCCUCCAUAUUUGUUGAGUUAUAAUUCUUCUUCUUGGAAGCUUUCGGGUUCUCAGCUGCCAUUUCAUUGGAAAGUCGGGAGAAAAAGAAAUUCCAUCGCAUAUCAUCUAUCAACUAAAGGUAAUUUUUACUUUUAUUUUAAAUACUGUCACAUAUUUCAUAAAUACCGUUAUGUAAUAGUUUAAUACCGUUGCAUAUUUAUCGUUCUAGUGUACAUAGAAAUUGUUGCUAAUAUUAGGUAUUUUUUGCUUGUGGAAAAUAUAUCUUCGAGUAAUAGCAUAUUACUGUCAUAUAAUAUGUAAAAUAUCGUCAUAUAAUAUGUAAAUACAUUCGCAUAUCUAUCAUGUUAGUGUCCAUGCAAUUUUAUUUUUAAUUAAGUGUUCUUUCAUUGUAUUGUAAAUACCUUCGCAUAGGAGAUAAAUACCUCCGUAAUUUUGAUGAAUAUCGUUGAAUACUUGAUUAAUACCAUCGCCUAAUAGUUUAAUAUCGUUGCAUAUUUAUCAUUGUAGUGUACAUAGAACUUGUUGUUAUUAUUAGGUGAUAUUUGAAUGUGGAAAACAUACCUUCGAUUAAUAAAUUAAUACCGUCGUCGAAUAUG
rnacentral:lncRNA from 1 species